UGCCCGAGGGGGGGACAUACGCUGUUAUCGCGAUAACAUGCGAGAAAAAAAAGAGACAUUUAUGCCUUUGUUAUUAGGCAAAGGCAUGUAUUUAUGGAACGUUAAUGUUUCUUUUAACUGAAUUAUGACAUUUGUCAGAAGUUUGUUUUCAGUAUAUAGCACAGUCACCAAUGACUACAGGCAGCACGAUGUUACAAUGCUGCUGCUCGGCUGUUGACAGGGACACGCAAAGGUGAGCACAUUACCCCUGUUCUUGCCUCUUUACACUGGUUGCCUGUCCAUUUCAGAAUUCAUUUUAAAAUGUUAUUGUUUGCUUUUAAAGUUUUAAAUGGCCGGGCUCCUUCUUACCUGUCAGACCUUCUACACCGAUACACUCCACAAAGGUCUCUUAGAUCAAGUGACCAGUCACUCCUUGCUGUCCCCAUGUCGAGACUGAAACACCGGGGGGACCGAGCUUUCGCUGUUGUGGCCCCAAAAUUAUGGAAUAAACUGCCCGUCCAUAUUAGGCUGGCCCCAACACUUGAAAUGUUUUAUCAUAUUAGGAAUUGGUGGGGUUUCUCUGGUGUGGUGUCACGGGGUCUGCUUCUGUUUUCAGCCCAGGUAGGCGGGGUGGUGUGUCACGGGAUGCUGACACACCGGCGGUACAUCAGACGUCAUUUGAUGGAGCGUUAUUUAGGAGCGGCGCAACAGACGUCUGGUGUCGGAGUAUUGCCACCUCCCCGAGUGGUAACUUGUUUAUUAAUUCUCUGCGGUGUGCAUACGGCCAACCUAUGUCUUGGAUUUGGUUUACUUUCCUGUUGUCCUGUAUCCUCAGCUGGAUCUAUCACCCGCUUACCUGUCAGCUGUUUGUGAAGCCGCAUUUCCGGGAUCUCUACGGGGAUAGAUCUCAGCCUUUCUUCUACUUCCCGGGAAGCCUCGCCCGAGUCUGUACAGCCAGUGUGACAAAUCCACCCUGCGUGUGCGGGUUACCCCUUUCCCUCUGAAUGCGUGUCAGCUCCCUUCUCUGGUUUCCCUCCGUUUAUUUGUCGGCGUACAUAUUCCAUCCCGUGUAAAUAAGUUGGACACUGUAAAUAAACAGCACUACCUGCA